GUACGUACAAGCAGUGGGAGCCCCACCACUAAGCCAGUGGUGAACUCCACAUACGCAUCCUUUGCUGAUGGCAAUGGUUAACGGAGCGAAAGCGACGUUCAACCGCAAAACAAGCAGAGGGGGCUUAGUGGUGGGGUGACUGCGUACCUUUUGUAUAAUGGGUCAGCGACUUAUAUUCUGUAGCAAGGUUAACCGUAUAGGGGAGCCGCAGGGAAAC
rnacentral:rRNA from 1 species